rnacentral:lncRNA from 1 species
UUGAACAUUCACAUGAUAUUAAAUGGAACUUACGUUUUGCUUUAUUUCAGGUUGCUGACUUUGAAAAUUAGUGUAGCAGUUUUCAUUUCUAAUCCUUUGGUUGUUUAAGCAAGGUGAUGAAUGUGGUAACCUGGCAUAAUUAGGUGCUUCGAAUCUCAAUGUGAAUUACUCGUUCAGUAAUUUCUCGUUUAAGUGGAUGCCUGAACUUCGACGAUUUGCACCAAAUGUUCCGGUAGUACUUGUUGGGACAAAACUAGACUUGAGCCGGAUCAAUUGAAAGCAAUUGAAACCGAUGAUU